CUUCUAAACAGAUGAGAUAAUUCAACAGCAAAGCCCCACUACUAAAAAGUUUCAGACACUUCGCCCUUGAUUCUCAACAAGAAUCCUAAAACUGAGCUGAAUGCCUGUGUCUCUUUUUCUCAAGCCAUUCAUUGCAGCUCCAUCGACGAAUUGGAGAUUCUUGUAUGGCUUCGUAUUCAGCCUUGGUGGGACUUCAAUGGAACGGAUUUCCUGAUGCUAAUCAUAGUUAUGGGAAGCAAGGGGAUUUCAAUAAGGCUGAGAAGGUUUUGAGCUUUAUGAACAAGAAGGGUUGUGUCAUGUGUGCCAAAUGUUGUCUCCCAUACUGCUCUUAUGGAAGUUUAUGGAAAAGAAGCUCGAUACAACAAUGCUGAAACUCUCUUUCGAAGAAUGAAAUUCUCAGGCCCGGGACCUUCUCCUCAUACAUAUCAGAUAAUAUUUCAAAUAUUUGUUGAGGUAAGAGCUUAUUAAAGAUUUAUCUUUAAAUUCUAUUAACUUAAAGUCAACCCUUGGUUUGCUGUUAAAACAAGGUUUUUAUUUUAACUUAAUGUCAACCCUUGAUUCUUUUUGAACUAUGGUUGACAUAAAACCUGAAAGGCUUAUGUGAAUCUGUCAAAUGUAUACACAGUUUAGUAUGAUUAUUUCUUGUUAUUCUGGCUUUUCACUGCA